GGAGAAUUCUGGGAAAUGGAAGGUUGAGUCAGGAGAUGCUGCCAGCUGCUGCCACCAUGAGAACAAGACUUGGAACCGAAGGGGGUGCAAGGAAGGCACGUUCUAUGUUUAACACUACCUACUAGUAGCCUGUUGCACAUAGGAGGCACUGGAAAAAAAUGCUCUUACAUGUGGAAUACAUUUUGCAGUUUUAUGACUUACCCUAUCAGAAUUGAGGAACACCUGUAUAAGUUUCCAGCUCUGAAACCUAAGCUCCAUGAAGAAAGCUGGAUAAAGUACAUCUGGCCAUGAUGAGCACCACUGGAGGGGAUGCUGCCAACAUCCCAGGAGAGGUCCAUGACUCCAGAAAGCACUCAAUCCUCAGUGGCAGCCUCUCCCACGCGGUAGAUAUGCCAUCUUCACGGGAGCUGCCUAACAUUGCCUCAAAAAAACAUCUCCAGUUAGACACCAAAGCAGGAGCCCAGCAGCCUCCCGGCCAUUUACAUUUCUGAUGAGGGUGUUCACUACAUACUUUUCAAAGAGCUUUGCAGAGAGUAUGAGGGAAAAUUCUUUGAAGGAAGCAGAAGGCACCCAGGCCUGGUACUUGUCCUAGUCUGCCCAUACCAUAUCAGUGAGAUCCUAAUAGUUACAGUUUAUAUAUUAUUCAUUUCAUUUGUCUAAAAAAUUUAUUGGGUGUGCUUACAUGUAUACACCAUGACAUACACGUGGUUUCAGAGACUUGCAGGAGUUAGUCUCUCUUUCUGCCACGUGGGUUCUGGGCAGCAAACUCAGGUCAUUGGCCUUGAUGGCCAGUGCCUUUACCCCUGAGCCAUCUCACUGGCCCUUAUCUCCUGUUUUCAAAUCCUGUUAUACAUUAAGGAAUUUUGCCUACUAUAGCUCUUGGGAAUUUAAAAAUUAUCUUCCUGCUCCUUUUCUUAUUACGGUCUUAGAAAGCUAAGGAAGAUGGCUGUUUCAGAAAUCCUUCUAAAUGCCUGCUUUUGCUCAUUCUUGCCUUCUAUGUCUCUGGUAAACGAUCAUCAGAGGCUCUCUUUGGCUUUGAAAUAAGCAGCGUUCUAGAAAGCAGGCAUCUGACACCAAAGUUCCAUCUGCCCGUUGCUAUUUACCCACUCGGCAUCCCUGGGCAACCAAUCAGGGACUAUUCAUCCCUUCGCAAGAGAAAAGAGACAAGACACCCAGGUGGGUGCUGCCUUUCUCCCCUUUAGAGGCAGGUGGCUCCCGUUAGUCCCAUCAGAUUUUCUUCUGGUUUACAAUCAGGGGGAUCAGAACAGCAGAGAAGACUGAAAAUAAAGUAAGCUCUCAGACAAAAACCAGAGGCAGGUGAUGUGUUCCUCACUGGCACGCCUUCACCACGGGAGCAACAAACAGAUACGCAGGCUUGUGCAGUGCGUCUCGUGGCAGUACACUGGGCAAUGGACUCAUACUCCUCUCCCUACUCUCUGUGAGGGCAGCCGGCCUCUGGGUAUGGUGGCUUCAUUCGGAGCUGGGCUUUAGCUUGUUAGAUCCAUUUGCCAUGUCAGAUUCAUUUCCUCUUUUCCUGUGUGAACAAUAAACCACGCAUUCAAAACAGA